rnacentral:rRNA from 1 species
UACGUAGGGGGCAAGCGUUGUCCGGAUUUAUUGGGCGUAAAGAGCGUGUAGGCGGCCAGGUAGGUCAGCUGUGAAAACUCGAGGCUCAACCUCGAGACGCCGGUUGAAACCAUCUGGCUAGAGUCCGGAAGAGGAGAGUGGAAUUCCUGGUGUAGCGGUGAAAUGCGCAGAUAUCAGGAGGAACACCUGUGGCGAAAGCGGCUCACUGGACCACAACUGACGCUGAGGCGCGAAAGCUAGGGGAGCAAACAGG